CGGGCUCGUGGCGCCGCACGCGGCGCGCGCCCUGGUGGGGCGCCGGCACGUACGGGUCGUCCCGGUGGCGAUCCUCCUCGGCGCGACCCUGG
rnacentral:tRNA from 1 species